rnacentral:rRNA from 1 species
CCUCGCGGGUUUUUUUUAUAAUCUGAGCCUUCUCGGCGCCUCUCGUAGGCGUUUCGAAAAUGAAUCAAAACUUUCAACAACGGAUCUCUUGGUUCUGGCAUCGAUGAAGAACGCAGCGAAAUGCGAUAAGUAAUGUGAAUUGCAGAAUUCAGUGAAUCAUCGAAUCUUUGAACGCACAUUGCGCCCGCCAGUAUUCUGGCGGGCAUGCCUGUCCGAGCGUCAUUUCAACCCUCGAACCCCUCCGGGGGGUCGGCGUUGGGGAUCGGCCCUCCCUUAGCGGGGUGGCCGUCUCCGAAAUACAGUGGCGGUCUCGCCGCAGCCUCUCCUGCGCAGUAGUUUGCACACUCGCAUCGGGAGCGCGGCGCGUCCACAGCCGUUAAACACCCAACUUCUGAAAUGUUGACCUCGGAUCAGGUAGGAAUACCCGCUGAACUUAAGCAUAUCAAUAAGCGGAGGA